CAACUACAACUCUGAUUUCCAGAUGUUAUUUCUUCAGCUGAAGGGUCACACAGACAGGAGGCCACCUGCGACCAGCCUGGUCAGACAUCCUUACCCUGUGCAGCCCGAAGGAACAUGGGCAAUUGAGUUCAUCAGAGCUGGUCAGACAAAGAGAGGCAUGGAGAUGCAUCCUGCGUUGACUGAGGUGUAGUCCAGAAGCACUGGGGCUAACGCUCACCAGGGAAGAUCAGAAAACCCCUCC
rnacentral:lncRNA from 1 species